AUUUGAUCAUUGAUUGAAGUACAUAUUUUGUGUAAUUUAAUAAGUCUUUUAAUAUUAACUACAUAAUUCAACAUGAAGAGUAGUAGAGCCAAACUUAUGGUUAAACUUGGACAAAGUAGCCAACAAGAGUAUAAUAGUAUCAACGUCAAACAAAUGCGAUCAGAGAAAUUAGCAUCAAAAAAUAAAUUUAUAAUUACUAUGAGCUUCCAAACACUGUUGAAAAGGUAGAGGCAUGGUUACAAGACCCCCAAAAUGUUUAUAUGGGCGAUUCAUCACCUAAAUCUUACCAUACACUUACUCCAUGCAAAUUAGUGGGAAAAGAUCAAUCAGAUCUAUGGAACAUUUCAGAUGAAGGUAAUACAAUUUUUGGUCAAAUUAAUGAUGGAGUUAUAGAAAAUCAUAUCACGGGAAGUCAAAUUAAUAUUAAUUCAAUAACUUCAAAUAAUAAUAUUUUGAUUGGGGAAAUUGACAACUAUGAAUCCGGCAAUGUAUUUCAAAAUGAUAUUCCUAAUCAAUGUUCUGAAGAAUUUCAACAUUUUGAAAAUCAUAAUAAUGAUAACAUUAUUAUAUUCAACAGUGCAACAAAUAAUGAUGGAGUAACUUCGAUAACUAACAUUGCUGAUCAAACACCUGAGUUUACUAAUAUUAUUGAAAAUAAUAUUCUACAUCAUAAUUCUAAUUCUGAUCAAAUUGAAAAUGAAGUUGUACUUCUUAAAAGUAAAAAAAGGAAAAGUUUUGGUUCACUAAAAGAAGCAUAAAAAAAAAAGAGAAAUAUGGGCCAGUCGUAUCAUACAGCUAAUAAAAAAAAAUUAAUAAAUGCUAAAGAAAUACAAUUAGCUUGUGGAAAUAUCUGAAGACUAAAAUGCUCAUUGUCUAUAAGUGAAAUAAGUAGACAACAACUAUUCAAUUCUUACUGGCAGUUAGGAAAUGUAGAUAGACAAAGAGAUUUUUUAUCUAAAUGCAUUGAACCUGGCAAUGUACCUAAAUAUAGGUAUCCUCAUACAGUAACUAGAGACUUAAAUUAUUCAUAUAACUUUUGUAUAAAUAAUAUUAAACAUAGAGUCUGUAAAUUAUUUUUCAAAAAUACACUUGCUAUUAGUGAUAGACCAAUUCGAACAGUUAUUUCAAGACUAAACAACUAUGGAUUUAUUAAGGAAGAUAAACGUGGAAAACAUAAAAACCAUAAAAAAAACUUGACUUUGCAAUUAAACAAAGUGUUUAAGACCACAUAAACUCUAUACCUCGUAUUGAAAGCCAUUAUUUAAGAGCACAAACAACUAGUAAGAGUAUAUUGAAGGUGGAAAAUCUUUGGCUGACUUACAUAGAGAUUAUUCAUCUCUCAGGAAAGAAGAACAAUAUCCUCAAGAAAAAAUAGCUAAUUUAACCAUGUACUCAAGAAUUUUUAAUACAGAGUUUAAUAUUUCUUUUUUUGUUCCCAAAAAAAAAACCAAUGUUCUCAUUGUGAAUCAUACAAAAAUGCGGAUGACGUUGAAAAAGUACUUUAAGAUGAAAAUUAUCAGCUACAUUUGUCAGAAAAAAAUCUAAGUAGAACAGAAAAAGAAAAUGAUAAACAGUUGGCUGGCUUUAAAUGAUAUAAUUAGAAGUAACAUAUUAUUAGCAUGCUAUGACC